rnacentral:rRNA from 1 species
CACGGGGGGAGCAAGCGUUGUUCGGAAUCACUGGGCGUAAAGAGCGUGUAGGCGGCCAGGUAGGUCGGUUGUGAAAACUGGAGGCUCAACCUUCAGAGGUCGACCGAAACCAUCUGGCUAGAGUCCGGGAGAGGAGAGUGGAAUUCCUGGUGUAGCGGUGAAAUGCGCAGAUAUCAGGAAGAACACCCGUGGCGAAAGCGGCUCUCUGGAACGGUACUGACGCUGAGACGCGAAAGCGUGGGGAGCGAACAGG